rnacentral:rRNA from 1 species
GUCGAGGGUUCGGCCCUUCUGCGAUGCGGCUCAGUAACACGUAAUAAUUUGCCCUUAGGUGGAGGAUACCCUCGGGAAACUGAGAAUAAUACUCCAUAGAUUUAGAAUGCUGGAAUGCUUUUAAAUUGAAAGAUUUAUCGCCUAAGGAUAAGUCUGCGGACUAUCAGGUCGUAGUUAGGGUAAAUACCUGACUAGCCUACGACGGAUACGGGUUGUGAGAGCACUACCCGGAGAUGACAUCUGAGACACGAUAUCAGGCCCUACGGGGCGCAGCAGGCGCGAAAACUUCGCACUGUGCGAAAGCACGACGAGGGAAUCCCAAGUGCUGGCUCGUAAGAGUCAGCUGUUUCUUUGUCUAAAAAACAGAGAGAGUAAGAGCUGGGUAAGACGGGUGCCAGCCGCCGCGGGUAAUACCUGCAGCUCAAGUGGUGGCCGCUAUUAUUGGGCCUAAAACGUCCGUAGCCGGUUCUAUAAAUGCCUGCGUAAAUUCGUACGGCUUACCGUACGAAUUCCGGGUAGACUGUUCAACUUGGGACCGGGGAGAGGCUAGAGGUACUCCU